UAGGGAAUCUUCGGCAAUGGACGAAAGUCUGACAGAGCAACGCCGCGUGAGUGAAGAAGGUUUUCGGAUCGUAAAACUCUGUUGUUAGAGAAGAACAAGGACGGUAGUAACUGAACGUCCCCUGACGGUAUCUAACCAGAAAGCCACGGCUAACUACGUGCCAGCAGCCGCGGUAAUACGUAGGUGGCAAGCGUUGUCCGGAUUUAUUGGGCGUAAAGCGAGCGCAGGCGGUUUCUUAAGUCUGAUGUGAAAGCCCCCGGCUCAACCGGGGAGGGUCAUUGGAAACUGGGGGACUUGAGUGCAGGAGAGGAGAGUGGAAUUCCAUGUGUAGCGGUGAAAUGCGUAGAUAUAUGGAGGAACACCAGUGGCGAAGGCGGCUCUCUGGUCUGUAACUGACGCUGAGGCUCGAAAGCGUGGGGAGCAAACAGG
rnacentral:rRNA from 1 species